rnacentral:rRNA from 1 species
AUCAUGGCUCAGAUUGAACGCUGGCGGCAUGCCUUACACAUGCAAGUCGAGCGGCAGCGCGGGGGCAACCCUGGCGGCGAGCGGCGUACGGGUGAGUAAUGCAUCGGAACGUGUCCUCUUGUGGGGGAUAACCAGUCGAAAGACUGGCUAAUACCGCAUGAGAUCGAGAGAUGAAAGCAGGGGACCCGCAAGGGCCUUGCGCGAGAGGAGCGGCCGAUGCCCGAUUAGCUAGUUGGCGGGGUAAAAGCCCACCAAGGCGACGAUCGGUAGCUGGUCUGAGAGGACGACCAGCCACACUGGGACUGAGACACGGCCCAGACUCCUACGGGAGGCAGCAGUGGGGAAUUUUGGACAAUGGGGGCAACCCUGAUCCAGCCAUGCCGCGUGUGUGAAGAAGGCCUUCGGGUUGUAAAGCACUUUCGGACGGAACGAAAUCGCGCGAUCUAAUAAGUCGCGUGGAUGACGGUACCGUAAGAAGAAGCACCGGCUAACUACGUGCCAGCAGCCGCGGUAAUACGUAGGGUGCGAGCGUUAAUCG